UAGUAUUCACUUGUGAAGUUAGGUACGUUCCCAAAUUUGGGAUAAAUACAACAUAUCCCUUCCCUUUUCCUUUGCAACUACCUCUCCAUCGAAACGGCCCCCAAUUUUGUAGCUAGGGUUAGGGUAUGGUUCCUCAUAUAAAUCUGCGCCUCAGCGUUACUUGAUAUUCUUCUAUAUAACCCAAGUGCUGAUUGAAUCUUUCAAAUCAAUACGCUCUCUCUGUCGCCGAUCAACAAGUUUCUGUGAUGUUUCUUAGUUCCUCUUUCGCCUUCGUAUUGUAGCUAAAGUUCCGAUCUUUCUUCCAUUUUUUGGAAUUGAUGGACAUGUUCAUUAACCUAGAUAUUUUCUUUCUUUCUUGUGAAUGUUUAAUCUUUAUUAUGCCUUUAACAAAUUUACUUGAUAACUAUAAUACCCUUUCUGCAUCUUUCUUGUCACUCUCUAUGAGUUCAAUUUGUAGCAAUACUCUGUCUCUGUUAUUGUUUUGCCUUGCAUAUGUAUACAUGCAUAUAUUUAUAUACACACACAAUUUGCUAUUAUUGAAGUAAAAAUGAUGGGUUGCAAUGAUUAUAAAAAUUCGUAGUUCUGAAUGCUAUUGCCAUGGCAUGAUAGACACAUUUACACCCAUAGAAUAUGAGCACCCACCUAAUUAUAUAUAUAUAAUUUUAUUUUAUUUUUUUAUUUUUUCCUCAAUGAAUACUUUCUUGGCAUUCUAGAACAACUCACCCCAGUUUUAGAAGUAAUUUUUUUUUUAAUUAUUGUACCCUUUUUGAGAAUUAGAUGGGCUGGUCUGUUCCAAGUUGUUGUGACUUUAGCAACACAUGUUGGUAGAUUUAUAAUUAAUUUUGAUUUAAAUCAGAGAUGAACGAGUCGGACAUACACCCUAGGAGACACCCUAGUACAUGUUCCUCGACACGGAGGGCAUCCCUGACUUGUUUAUUGGCAUAUGCCAAUGACAAUUGUAGUAAGAAACUAUCAAUAAUUAUGGGAUGAUAUGCUUUUGUCGGGUGUUUAGUGGAAUCUGACACCCUACAUUACAAACAUGCUCAAGUAUAAGUUAUUAAUGUAUUGACAUAAGAACAAUUCUGGCUCAGUUCACUAUAUUGUGAACUGUUCUGUUUUCACAGUUUUUAGGUACUAAUUUAUACUGCUUGAUUUGUGAUCUGAAUUCCAUUCUCAAGCCUAGCUCAUUAAGUUUAAUGAAGGAGAACGUGGUCAAUAGGUAGGACCUAAAACUUGUCAUACUUUAAGAAAAUUCUCUUUGAAUCUGUAUACAUCUCGUGUUUAAUUUGAUAUCAUCAGAUUUGAUAUCGUUUUCAUUGUCUAUAUGAAGUUACAUGUUUAUCAUAUAAGAACUUUUACAUAUUGGCAGAAGUAAGUGUAGUCAAAUUUCGAAACACUAUUAUGAUUUUACACUUAAAUAACUUUGAUUGUCUUAGGUUGAUAGGUUGAUGAUAUGAGGUUGUCACUGUAAUAGGCUAGCAAAUUGAGGUUUUCAGUCUGCUUUAUUAUGGUAUGUUUCUUAUACAGCAAAUGUUGGUAAUCCUUCUUCAUUUCCAUCUCUCCUCUCUCUCUACAUGCAAAUUCACUUACUUUGGGUCUAGUUUUAUUGGAAGUGAAUUUGAAUUUGGACUUCUUUUGAGAUGGCAAUGAUAAAUUAUUGUUUUAAAAAUAAAAAGUAUCACUUUCCAUGCAGAAAGAGAAGCUUCACCAUAUCUUUUGAUGAUCACAUUAUAUCUUAUUGGGCUUCACCGUAUGUAGAUGCUGUUAUAAACGGAAGCUUCUAUUUGCUAACCAACAUCGGUUGCUUCUCCCUGAAGAUGAAUAUUCUCUUUACGUGUAUGAUUUUCUCAACUUGGGUUUGUUUUUAGGUACCAAUUUUGAUUUGAAGGAAUGAACGAGAAGUAAUAAAAGAAAGCAGAUGUUUGUCAAGGUGGUGUAGUGAUAGUAACAUUUGACAUUAUGCAACAUAUGUAUAAUUUUAUGCCUUGGUAUAUUUAUAUUUUUUGUUGUAUUUGCUUGUACUUGAACUACUUUUAUGUUUAUAGCUAAAGGUAAAUUGCUUUUAGAAGUUGGUAGUUUUUAUUUUUAUUUUUUUUAUUUUUAUUUACAAUAGAAUAUUUUAGUCGUUUAAUUCAAAGGAGUUUGGCUUUGUGAUCCUCAUGGCAUUAACAAACUUUGGUUGCUGUGUGAUUGGCCUCUCCUAAAAUUUAUAUGGUGGUGUUUAAAGCCCUAAUCUGUCAAAAUAAAAAAUUCAGAGGUUAGGGUUACGCAUACCGCCACAUGAUUUGAAAAAAAAAAAGACCCCUAAAUUCUCCCCUCAUGUUUUAUGCUACGUUAAUAAACUGAUUAUUUAAAAAAAAAAUCAUGAUUUCAUUUAGUUCAUUAAGUAGAUAUAUGUCAACCUUUGGACAUCAUGUAACAUAUGCAUAUUGUUUGUCAAUUAAAGGAAAUACUGUUGUUUCUCUGUUUUGACUAUGUUGGUCAGUAUAUUUGUACUUCAUCUUCCUAAUUAGUUGGCUCUCAACCCAAGCCAUAGAGCACGAAGGUGCUGCGAUAUGGAUGUGCAUGAGCUUGACACAGAAAUGGGUGAUAUAUAGUGAUUUUAAUUUUAUUUAUUUAUAUAUUUAUUUUUGUCUAUUUCCCUUUUUGGGGGGUAUUUAUGUAAUUUUACGCUAUCCUUAACUCGAGUUAGGUCACAAUCAGCCAAAAAGCGCAAUUUGCAACAAUUGGAAAAUUAAGGGGUUUUAUUGCCAUAAAAAAAAGUAGGAAGGGGUUAUUUAAAAUACCUUAUUUUGCAGUCCGAUUAAACAACAGUGGGUUUAGUGCACUUAGGCCUAUUUUUAAAUGAGGAAAAUAAACACAAAAAGGUUUAAAACCUAUGAUAAAAGUGUGUCAGUUUUUAAUGAUUUUAAGUCAUUUAUUUAAAGUUAGAAAAUUUAUGAAACUAUUAAAAUAUUUUUUAAUAACUAUUAUGUACUAGUAGUAAAAUUAUGAGUUAGAAUUAUAUGACUUAAAUUAUGAUUUUAAAUUGUGUAUCAUAUUUGAUACUAUCUAUUUACAUUUGUUAGUAGGUACUCAACCACCACUAACUGUGCCCAUGGUCAAAUGGUUAGUAAAAUAGGAUUAAAAAAAAAAAAAAAAAAAAAAAAAAAAAAA